AGUAUGGGGCCUAUCGAAUUACAACCAUGCAAUCUAUAUAAACCAUUCACUUAUCAAACAAACGCCAACACAUUCUUCAACGUGAACAGCCUCAUUCCAACAAGAAAUGAAGCUUUGGUUUUUCCUUAUCCUCCUUAUGGUUGCCUAUGCCAACGCAUGUAAUGUUCUAAAUAGAAGCAAAAAAUUCUAUUGUUAUAAUAAACCAAAUAAUUGCCCCCGUGGGAUGAAAUGCCAAUGGAGUGUCCUUGCCCUUGAUUACAUAUGCGUAGCUGGUUAAGUACAGCUACUUUAUAACAACUUGAAGGAAGAGCUUAAUUAGUGAGGUAUUCCAUAAACAUCUUAGAGCUGUCUAGUCGAUUCUCCACAAAAACGUUUAUGCAAAAAUGACAAUUAAUUAAACUUCGAAAGGGAAGCCACAUUUUGCCUUUGACACAUCCCAAAUUUUAAUUCUUAUCAUAAAAAAAUAUCCUCAAUUUACAGAUAUCGAAACUAAAAUACACCCUCUCACAAUAAUUUUAACAUUUUUUUUUGCCAAUCCCGAUAAAUGUGUUUUUCUGUUUGAGAAUGUAAUAAAAAAAUGAAACAUCAA